rnacentral:lncRNA from 1 species
UUUGUUCAUAGUUGCACGUUUGACAAUGGUAGGCAAUAGUUGAUAUGGGUAAAUAAUUGUUGUCAAGAAUCAUACUCAACUCUGUGGCCACUAGCUUUUCUCUGUCCAUCUACUUCUUGUAUAAUAAUUCCUUGUCCGUGGUAUUUUAUUAGAAGACGUGUUCCUACUCAAUCUUGAAUGUUUCCAAAUGCUACUAACCUAGAUUUAGUGGGUCGAUUAUAUAAUUUUUUUUUAAUAAAAAAAUUAUAUUAAAAAAUAAAAUGAAUAAAAAUUAUUGAAUCGAAAAAAUAUUAAUAAUAAAAUUAAGGAUAUUUUCAAAGAAAAGGUUUCAUGACACAAUGAGCCCACCUCAAAACCAGCACUUUGGAGCAAUAGAUAUCCUUUCCUCCAACCUUACUCAAAUCAUUGCGUGGGGAAAAUGGCUCAGAUGAGAAGCAUACUCUCUUUCUUAAUCAUUAGCCUGCUGUUCUUGUCCCAAUCUCGUCCGAGUUCAGCUAAUGUAGGCUUCUUCAAUCAAUUCAACAAAGCUCUUGAUCAGUACCAGCACCAGAGUAGGCAAUUUCCAGUAGAAGACCAUGACCUGGGUUCACUCCAUAACCGAAAACUAAGGAUUCACAUCAAAAGAAGAGCUCGCUUUGGUCCUCGAGGAACUCGUCCAAAAUCAUCUUCCAUCCCAACACAAAUAUCUUCCAUCCAUCUAAUUGCUUCGGUUUUUGGUUAUUCUCUUUUCCUUUGUUUCUUCCUGCUCUAGUUUGUUGAAGGUGAUAGUGAUGCAUCUGAAAAUUAUUGCUAUAUUGUAGUGGGUGUUUUCUUUUAUAUAUGUAUGUAUAUAUAAUAGAUCUGGGUGAUCGUGGCAGAGUGGUUUGCUCAUUAUCAAGUGUGCAACAUCAUAUAUGAAUUUAUGAUUUUCAUGACUGAUGUAAUAAUAAGCUAUAUCUACGUUCGAUUGCCAUUAAUCAAUUAUAUAUGGAUGGACUACUGUUCAUUUUUCAACCAUAUAGAACAUUCUUUGUGUUAGGAUUUAAUUUAAUUUCGUUGAAAGAAUUGGAAAAAAAAAGUCAAAUUUAUCUUUAUAUAGUGAGGAC